rnacentral:snoRNA from 3 species
GUCGACGUACUUCAGUAUGUAAUAUACCCCAAACAUUUUACCCACAAAAAACCAGGAUUUGAAAACUAUAGCACCUAAAAGUCUUAGGUACUAGAGUUUUCAUUUCGGAGCAGGUUUUUUGAAAAAUUAAAUUCAACCAUUGCAACAGCUUUUGACUAACACAUUCUACAGUAGGAUCAUUUCUAUAGGAAUCGUCACUCUUUGACUCUUCAAAAGAGCCACUGAAUCCAACUUGGUUGAUGAGUCCCAUAACCUUUGUACCCCAGAGUGAGAAACCGAAAUUGAAUCUAAAUUAGCUUGGUCCGCAAUCCUUAGCGGUUCGGCCAUCUAUAAUUUUGAAUAAAAAUUUUGCUUUGCCGUUGCAUUUGUAGUUUUUUCCUUUGGAAGUAAUUACAAUAUUUUAUGGCGCGAUGAUCUUGACCCAUCCUAUGUACUUCUUUUUUGAAGGGAUAGGGCUCUAUGGGUGGGUACAAAUGGCAGUCUGACAAGU